AUUGAACGCUGGCGACAUGCCUUACACAUGCAAGUCGAACGGCAGCACGGGUGCUUGCACCUGGUGGCGAGUGGCGAACGGGUGAGUAAUACAUCGGAACAUGUCCUGUAGUGGGGGAUAGCCCGGCGAAAGCCGGAUUAAUACCGCAUACGAUCUACGGAUGAAAGCGGGGGACCUUCGGGCCUCGCGCUAUGGGGUUGGCCGAUGGCUGAUUAGCUAGUUGGUGGGGUAAAGGCCUACCAAGGCGACGAUCAGUAGCUGGUCUGAGAGGACGACCAGUCACACUGGGACUGAGACACGGCCCAGACUCCUACGGGAGGCAGCAGUGGGGAAUUUUGGACAAAGGGCGAAAGCCUGAUCCAGCAAUGCCGCGUGUGUGAAGAAGGCCUUCGGGUUGUAAAGCACUUUUGUCCGGAAAGAAAUCCUUGGCCCUAAUACGGUCGGGGGAUGACGGUACCGGAAGAAUAAGCACCGGCUAACUACGUG
rnacentral:rRNA from 1 species